AUGACCCCCAUUUACAGCCUCAGCAUCCUCCUCCUCCUCUCUCUCAGUGCCUUUUUCAUUGCUCACACCCAUGUCUCCUGGGGAUGGCAGCAGCUCCUUGGAGCCUGCAUGGAGCUCCACACUUUCCUUUAUGGUCUGGAAGUCUCCUGCUGCUGUUCCUGUGCUGCUGUGGAAGCCCUGGAGGUCUCCUGCAGCUCCCCAGGGGCUGCUCCCACCCGUGUGGGGGCUCACGGGUGGGCUCAGGGCGCUGGGCAGGCCCUGGCUGUCCCCUUGCAGUUUGCUGGACAAGGUGCUGCUGUUCCCUCUCUGGAAACACCCCACAUCUAUGGAAUGCUGCCCUUCAGGCCUGGGCUCCAGAGGCUGCAGCUCAGCCCCCUGCCCUGUUUCGGAGAUGAUGCUGGACCAGGGGCUCGUCCUGUCUGUCAUGGUGGUUAUUUCAUUCAGAGUUCGUGGUUCUAUUACGUCUUCUUCAUACUCCUCCUCACUGUGAGGCUGGGUGGCAAAAGCACCUUCAUUUUCCUGGCCAAAAGGAUGCUCAUCCUCAGGGACAAUGGGGCCGAGGAGCUGGUGCAACAUGUGUCUCCCGAACACGGCUCGGCCGGCAGGGCACGGCUGCUGCGCGUCCCUGGGAACGCUGGGCACAGCUGGCACCUCCAGCUGGCCCUCAGGAGCUGCAGGGCUGCCCCCUGCCCCCUGCCAGCCGGGCACAGCCGCGGCGCCCCGCUUCCUGCUGCUCUCCUGCUGCUCCCCGCAAGCUGCCUUGCUGCUCCUAGUCAUGGUCUGCAGGUCUGCUUAACAGAAAAGAGCAUCAGUGAAUGCAUGGAGCAACGAUUCAGCUUAAGUCUGAUUUAUGUGGGGUUUGGGCACAAAGUCCCAGGUGUAAGGAUGGCUGGGAGCUGAACAGGCACAGCUUUGCAAACAUGUGAGCAUGUUCUGCUCUGCCACCCACUGGCAAGGCCAGGACAACAGAAACGCUAACAGAAAAACAGAAGCAUUCAGGAUGAAAUUAAUAAAUUUACAAAUUCUUUAAAAAGCCA
rnacentral:lncRNA from 1 species